ACAUAUUAUAUCUCAGAACUUAACGUUGCCCAGCGUUUUCUUUACAAACCGCGCUGCCCGCUACCCCGCCAGUCUUGAUCAGGCGCUUGCUAACGUAGGACCUGUGUCAAAUAACUCCGCUCGAUUUUACGUUUUGAGUAACGAUAAAUUAUUGAAAAUGGGUAACAAAACAAACAAAAUUCGGAAGAAAGCAGUGUUGGGAGGCGGACAUGCGCAGGCUCGCUCGCGCACCCUUCGCACACCUUACUGCCGCCACGUGAUCGUAGUGAUGUGACUUGACCAACGCUGUACUCGAUAGUUUAC